rnacentral:rRNA from 1 species
CCUACGGGAGGCAGCAGUGGGGGAUAUUGCACAAUGGGGGGAACCCUGAUGCAGCGACGCCGCGUGCGUGAAGAAGUCUUUCGGUAUGUAAAGCUCUAUCAGCAGGGAAGAAAAUGACCGUACCUGACCAAGAAGUCCCGGCUAACUACGUCCAAGCGGCCGAGGUAAUACGUAGGGGGCAAGCGUUAUACGGAUUUACGGGGUGUAAAGGGAGCGUAGACGGGUAUGUAAGUCUGGAGUGAAAGCCCGGGGCCCAACCCCGGGACUGCCUUGGAAACUGGGUAACUGGAGUACAGGAGGGGCAGGCGGAAUUCCUGGUGUAGCGGUGAAAUGCGUAGAUAUCAGGAGGAACACCGGCGGCGAAGGCGGCCUGCUGGACUGAAACUGACGUUGAGGCUCGAAAGCGUGGGGAGCAAACAGGAUUAGAUACCCUAGUAGUC